rnacentral:rRNA from 1 species
GACGAACGCUGGCGGCGUGCUUAACACAUGCAAGUCGAACGGAAAGGCCCUGCUUUGGUGGGGUGCUCGAGUGGCGAACGGGUGAGUAACGCGUGAGUAACCUGCCCUUGACUUUGGGAUAACUUCAGGAAACUGGGGCUAAUACCGGAUAGGAGCUCCUGCUGCAUGGUGGGGGUUGGAAAGUUUCGGCGGUUGGGGAUGGACUCGCGGCUUAUCAGCUUGUUGGUGGGGUAGUGGCUUACCAAGGCUUUGACGGGUAGCCGGCCUGAGAGGGUGACCGGCCACAUUGGGACUGAGAUACGGCCCAGACUCCUACGGGAGGCAGCAGUGGGGAAUAUUGCACAAUGGGCGGAAGCCUGAUGCAGCAACGCCGCGUGCGGGAUGACGGCCUUCGGGUUGUAAACCGCUUUCGCCUGUGACGAAGCGUGAGUGACGGUACUGGGUAAAGAAGCACCGGCUAACUACGUG